AGGGGGCAGCUGGCUGCAAGGAAGACGAAGUGCUGGGAAAGCUGGACCCGUAUCUGUCCCCGUGUGUCCACCAUCUUGCAGCCAGCCAACUGAAGGCACGCUUGACCUCCUUCCUAAGCUAGAGGACUUAACAUGUUAACACUGCCCAAUUAUGCCACAUGUGGUACAUAUCCUGAAGAGACUAUCCAUGAAGAAAUAGGAUCCAUAUGGGCCGAUUCUUACCAGUGAGCAUGUCCCGCUGAAGAACAGGCUUGGGUAUCUGCCUACACAGAUCAGCUCAACAAGACUAAGGCCUCUACUCUUAAUUUAUAGUGCUGAACAGCUCUCAAGAAGAGUGAGGGAUCUAUAGGAGGUAUAGCAUUAAAUGGACAGCACUGCGACAUACGUUUCCCUGCCAAGGAGCAAGGCCUUUGCUGUGGUGUGAGGUUCUGUGCUCUAGGAAUGAGCAGGAGUAUCAGUCUGGCCUGCAUUCCUCCCUUGAGGAAAGAGACAGAUGAUAUCAUCGUUGGAGUUGUUUGGACAUCAUAAAGAACAAAAGAGCUGGAGCCUGGAUGCAAUGAGCCAGCUGAGUAUACACUACCGUUCCUGGGGACCUCUUCAAGGAAAAAAUGCUGACAGAGCCAAUUCCUGCACUAUAUGCUUCUCCAAGGGAUGCUUAAGGCAUCUUCUCCCGUAACAGCACUGUCUUCUCUUACGGUGAUAACAGUUUACGAGUGGUUCUACUUCAUGUGUUCCUCUUCAUGCUGACACUCGUGUCCUACAACUGAGCAAGGUUGCGUGGUACAUUCACGUCUUUGCAGCUGGUCAUUCUCAUUAAACAGCAAAGGACAAUUUUGCCCGAAGAAAAUUUCCUCAGCAACAAGCUUCUGCUCUGUCUGCUCACAAACUGGAGAGCAGCGAUGGGAUCUCCUGAAGACAACAGCACAGACUGAGUAGAGAAAGGGACAGAGAGGUAAUGGGAGGAGGGCUGAGUUGAAGAGGCAGAGGAAAAGACUGCAAAUUUCACACUUUACAAGUGAAGUUCUGGACCAACAUGGCAGAAAAAAGGGCAGGAACAGGUUAGAGACAGUAAUGUGAGUGUAAAGGAAGCAGCUUAAGUUGGUAACAUCCAUUUCAAGUAUUAAACCUCCAGGACUGACUCGGAAACCUACCUCCCAUGUUUAUCUAAUUACAAAAAUUAAUAUUGUCAUUUCAUCUUUUCCAACAAAUCAGCAUUUCCUGAAGUAUUGUGAUACUUUCCCUGAGCUAAGUAUAGCUCCACUAGGAUUUUCAUUUACAGGCUGGUAAUAUCUUAUUACAUUUAAGGAUUGUGCUAGCUCAGAUAAAAAUGUGUCUUGCAUUCCUCACUUGUCCCAGAGCUGCUGUACAGUAGAUAUUUGAAUGUGCUAAAGGCACAGAGAGUAACAAGUAUGCAGAUUUUAAUUAUUUUAAGCAUAUUUUAAUAGAUCGUAGUCAUUACAGAGUAACUGCUUCUCCAGAGCAGGGAGAGAGUUUGGAAACAGAGCUAUAAGAUGAUUGAUAUUUUUGAAUCAACAGUAAUCCUGAAUAAUCAAAAAAUGAUGUCUUCUAAAUAAACAAUAAAAAUCUGGUCAAGUUGGUUUGAAGCACUAUUUUAUAUAUUUUUAAUUCUUUCAAGGUUAAAUUGAAGACAUAUUAAGACAAACGUGGGUGGUUGGAAAUCAUCAAAAUAAAAUAGUUCAGCUUAAAACUACUGAGUUUCAUUUAUACACAAACCAUUCAGAGAAACAGAGCAAUUCAAACAAAAGUUUGAUGUUUCCAAGUUUACUGAAGAGUUUCAACCAAAAAAUUUGGGUGUACACUAUGUAAAAAUCAUAUGGCUGUACUAUCCAAAUCCUCCUCAUUUUCAUAAUAGAUAAAGAUAAAUGCAAUCUUCCUUUUGUUUUAUUUUGCUUUUCAUCUCAUAAGAUUGUUCAUCUCAUUAGGCUGAGAAAGCACAGUUGUGCUUUCAGCAAAUCUUUUGUCUAUGGCUGGGUUUUUCUUUUUUUGGCUCAGUUUACUUAUAAAUAAAUAAUGUGUUGAUGUAGCAGAGUAAGGGGAAGGACAUUUUUGGUGUUUGGACAAUGCGGCAUUCAUUUUCAAUGUGGAAGAAAACUGUGUGUUGUAUAACAAAGCAGUCAUCUUAGGUCUGCUGUUCUUACACUUUCUCCCUGUAUUAACAAAGCAAAGAACAUGAAGCAAAACUGUAUGCUAGGGAAAAAGAUGUCAGCAACGAUUUCUCACUAGGAAUGCAAUGGGUAAAUUUAGCUUGGCUUCCAGCACAGGUGAGAUCUGAGGUAGAUAUGAGGUGAUUCUGUGUGUGAAAAUGUCCUAGAGUACUUGAAAUUGGUGUCUUUCAGAACAGGAUUUCCAGAUGCUGCAGUUAAAUCUCGAAAGCUGUUCUGUAAAGUUAUCCCACAUUAUGGUUUUGUAAAAGGGGAUGCAACUCAGCAGAACUAAGUGAGAAAUUGCAGCUUUUUGUGUGCUCUCAGCACUUCACUGUGUUUGCAUCUAGUAUGUAAAAAUGAUGGUCAUUGCGUGAUAUUAUUUCAUUGUCACUUAUUAACACACAAUUCAGCUCAAACAUUUGGCUGUUUCUGAGCAUGUGAAUUCAGAUGCCAACGCAGGGAAUUAAAAUGAAAGCCUCACUGUGUUACAAAGGACAUUUUAAUGAUCAAGGACAGUUGUUGCUACAAAUGUUUGAAAAGGAUACCUCCUAUUUUGCAGCAACCCCUGAAGUACCACAGGUGCUGUACAACUGUGGUAAUGGAAAAAGAGCCAAAUGUCAAUGCCAGAAAGACCAGUGCUGUGU